GCUGAUAUAGCUCAAAGGUAGAGUCACUGACUUGUAAUCAGAAGGUUGGGGGUUCGAUUCCCUUUAUCAGUU
rfam:Eimeria praecox, Houghton, WGS project CBTT01000000 data, contig: Eph_contig5083_2